AGAGUUUGAUCCUGGCUCAGGUUGAACGCUGGCGGCAUGGCUAAAACAUGCAAGUCGAACGAGAAAGCACUUCGGUGCGAGUACAGUGGCGAAAGGGCGAGUAAUGCGUACCUAACGUACCUCCAGGUGCGGGAUAGCUCGGGGAAACCCGUGGUAAUACUGCAUAACCCCGUCGAGUCAUAUGAUUUGACGGGCAAAGGCUUGCUGCCUGGAGAUCGGGGUGCGUCCUAUCAGCUUGUUGGCAAGGUAAUGGCUUACCAAGGCUAAGACGGGUAGCGGGUGUGAGAGCAUGACCCGCCGCAUCGGGACUGAGACACUGCCCGGACUCCUACGGGAGGCUGCAGCAACGAAUAUUCCGCAAUGCGCGAAAGCGUGACGGAGCAAUGCCGCGUGUGGGAUGAAGCAUCUAGGUGUGUAAACCACUGUCAGGUUUUAGGAAGUUCUGACCAGAACCAAAGGAAGAGCCGGCUAACUCUGUGUCAGCAGCCGCGGUAAU
rnacentral:rRNA from 1 species